rnacentral:rRNA from 1 species
CCUACGGGAAGCAGCAGUGAGGAAUAUUGGACAAUGGGCGAGAGCCUGAUCCAGCCAUGCCGCGUGCAGGAAGACUGCCCUAUGGGUUGUAAACUGCUUUUGUACGGGAAGAAACACCCCCUCGUGAGGGGGCUUGACGGUACCGUAAGAAUAAGGAUCGGCUAACUCCGUGCCAGCAGCCGCGGUAAUACGGAGGAUCCAAGCGUUAUCCGGAAUCAUUGGGUUUAAAGGGUCCGUAGGUGGAUGAUUAAGUCAGAGGUGAAAUCCUGCAGCUCAACUGUAGAAUUGCCUUUGAUACUGGUCAUCUUGAAUUAUUGUGAAGUAGUUAGAAUAUGUAGUGUAGCGGUGAAAUGCAUAGAUAUUACAUAGAAUACCAAUUGCGAAGGCAGAUUACUAACAAUACAUUGACACUGAUGGACGAAAGCGUGGGGAGCGAACAGGAUUAGAUACCCUGGUAGUCCACGCCGUAAACGAUGGAUACUAGCUGUUCGGAUUUAUCUGAGUGGCUAAGCGAAAGUGAUAAGUAUCCCACCUGGGGAGUACGUUCGCAAGAAUG